CAGAGGUCACUGCUAUCGGGGAUUCGAWUAAGCCAUGCGAGUCGAGAGGGUUCAGACCCUCGGCGGACUGCUCAGUAACACGUGGAUAACCUGCCCUAAGGUGGAGCAUAACCCCGGGAAACUGGGGAUAAUACUCCAUAGGUUAGAGAUACUGGAAUGUUCUUUAAUCGAAAGUUCCGGCGCCUUAGGAUGGAUCUGCGGCCGAUUAGGUAGUUGUUGGGGUAACGGCCCAACAAGCCUGUAAUCGGUACGGGUUGUGGGAGCAAGAGCCCGGAGAUGGAAUCUGAGACACGAUUCCAGGCCCUACGGGGCGCAGCAGGCGCGAAAACUUUACAAUGCAGGAAACUGUGAUAAGGGAACCCCGAGUGCCCGUAUACGCGGGCUGUCCGGGUGUAUAAAAAGCAUCUGAAGAAAGGGCCGGGCAAGACCGGUGCCAGCCGCCGCGGUAAUACCGGCGGCUCGAGUGGUGACCACUUUUAUUGGGCUUAAAGCGUUCGUAGCUGGACUCUUAAGUCUCUUGGGAAAUCCCGCGGCUCAACCGUGGGGCGUUUAAGAGAUACUGGGAGUCUAGGAACCGGGAGAGGUAAGAGGUACUUCGGGGGUAGAAGUGAAAUUCUGUAAUCCUCGAGGGACCACCGAUGGCGAAGGCAUCUUACCAGAACGGCUUCGACAGUGAGGAACGAAAGCUGGGGGAGCGAACGGGAUUAGAUACCCCGGUAGUCCCAGCCGUAAACGAUGCGCGUUAGGUGUACUGGUGACCACGAGUCACUGGGGUGCCGAAGGGAAACCGUGAAACGUGCCGCCUGGGAAGUACGGUCGCAAGGCUGAAACUUAAAGGAAUUGGCGGGGGAGCACCACAACSGGUGGAGCCUGCGGUUUAUUG
rnacentral:rRNA from 1 species